rnacentral:rRNA from 1 species
GAAUUCAACUCCUACGGGAGGCAGCAGUGGGGAAUUUUGGACAAUGGGGGCAACCCUGAUCCAGCAAUGCCGCGUGAGUGAAGAAGGCCUUCGGGUUGUAAAGCUCUUUUGUCAGGGAAGAAACGGUAGUAGCUAAUAUCUAUUACUAAUGACGGUACCUGAAGAAUAAGCACCGGCUAACUACGUGCCAGCAGCCGCGGUAAUACGUAGGGUGCAAGCGUUAAUCGGAAUUACUGGGCGUAAAGCGUGCGCAGGCGGUUGUGUAAGUCAGAUGUGAAAUCCCCGGGCUCAACCUGGGAAUUGCAUUUGAGACUGCACGGCUAGAGUGUGUCAGAGGGGGGUAGAAUUCCACGUGUAGCAGUGAAAUGCGUAGAUAUGUGGAGGAAUACCGAUGGCGAAGGCAGCCCCCUGGGAUAACACUGACGCUCAUGCACGAAAGCGUGGGGAGCAAACAGGAUUAGAAACCCUAGUAGUCCAGGCGUU